rnacentral:rRNA from 1 species
AACGAACGCUGGCGGCAUGCCUAACACAUGCAAGUCGAACGAGACCUUCGGGUCUAGUGGCGCACGGGUGCGUAACGCGUGGGAACCUGCCCUUAGGUUCGGAAUAACUCCCCGAAAGGGGUGCUAAUACCAGAUAAUGUCUUCGGACCAAAGAUUUAUCGCCUUUGGAUGGGCCCGCGUUGGAUUAGCUAGUUGGUAGGGUAAAAGCCUACCAAGGCGACGAUCCAUAGCUGGUCUGAGAGGAUGAUCAGCCACACUGGGACUGAGACACGGCCCAGACUCCUACGGGAGGCAGCAGUGGGGAAUAUUGGACAAUGGGCGAAAGCCUGAUCCAGCAAUGCCGCGUGAGUGAUGAAGGCCUUAGGGUUGUAAAGCUCUUUUACCCGGGAUGAUAAUGACAGUACCGGGUGAAUAAGCUCCGGCUAACUCCGUG